rnacentral:rRNA from 1 species
AGUGAACGCUGGCGGUAGGCCUAACACAUGCAAGUCGAACGGCAGCACAGUAAGAGCUUGCUCUUACGGGUGGCGAGUGGCGGACGGGUGAGGAAUACAUCGGAAUCUACUUUUUCGUGGGGGAUAACGUAGGGAAACUUACGCUAAUACCGCAUACGACCUACGGGUGAAAGCAGGGGAUCUUCGGACCUUGCGCGAUUGUAUGAGCCGAUGUCGGAUUAGCUAGUUGGCGGGGUAAAGGCCCACCAAGGCGACGAUCCGUAGCUGGUCUGAGAGGAUGAUCAGCCACACUGGAACUGAGACACGGUCCAGACUCCUACGGGAGGCAGCAGUGGGGAAUAUUGGACAAUGGGCGCAAGCCUGAUCCAGCCAUACCGCGUGUGUGAAGAAGGCCUUCGGGUUGUAAAGCCCUUUUGUUGGGAAAGAAAAGCAGUAGGUUAAUACCCCGCUGUUCUGACGGUACCCAAAGAAUAAGCACCGGCUAACUUCGUG